GACGAACCGUGCGAACGUUGUUCGGAAUCACUGGGCUUAAAGGGCGCGUAGGUGGUUUGCCAAGUCGGGGUUGAAAUCUUUCGGCUUAACCGGAAAAGUGGCUUCGAUACUGGCAAGCUGGAGGGAGGUAGGGGCGGAUGGAACUUCCGGUGGAGCGGUGAAAUGUGUUGAUAUCGGAAGGAACACCAGUGGCGAAGGCGGCUUCCUGGACUAAUACUGACGCUGAGGUGCGAAAAGCGUGGGGAGCAAACAGG
rnacentral:rRNA from 1 species